CAGGCGUCCUCACAAGUAACCUGCAUUCAGAGAGUUUCGCCAUGGGGCGGAACACCCCGAAAUACCGGGGCCAUAGCUCAGCUGGGAGAGCACCUGCUUUGCAAGCAGGGGGUCGUCGGUUCGAUCCCGACUGGCUCCACCACUGAUGACGACUUUGGGUCUGUAGCUCAGGUGGUUAGAGCGCACCCCUGAUAAGGGUGAGGUCGGUGGUUCGAGUCCUCCCAGACCCACCACUCUGAAUGUAUCGCACACGAAGAAUUUGAAUGAUUCGGCGCUGAGGCCGGGUCGUGUUCUUUAAUAAUUAGUGAUGUAGCGAACGUUUGAGAACAAUACUCUCGACGUGUCGUUGUGGCUAAGGCGGGGACUUCGAGUCCCUAAAAUUGAGUCGUUAUAGUUCGCGUCCGGGCUUUGUACCCCUGGGCUGAAUAUGACCUUGAGGCAACUUGAGGUUAUAUGGUCAAGCGAAUAAGCGCACACGGUGGAUGCCUUGGCGGUCAGAGGCGAUGAAGGACGUGGCAGCCUGCGAAAAGUGUCGGGGAGCUG
rnacentral:misc_RNA from 1 species